CGAAGUUCAAUGUCAUCACCAAAACAUCGAACCCCUCGCGUGUAAUCCAAAUACAAUUUGAAACUCAAAAUUACAUCAAAACUCCUAAAACGGACUCUAUGACUUAGACACAACUAUGAGUCUUGAAGUCUUGAUUUUCUGCAAAACAAUUCAUUCAAAAAUGAUUAGCACUAAAUUCUUAUACUUUCUCCCCCUUUGUUCUUGAACUUAUCAUCCUCUGCUUCAGUUCAAAACCUGCUCAUCCACGCUCUCCCCCUUCAUCUACGCUCUCCCCCUUUUUGUCAAAAAUUGCCAAAAGAAAACAAAUAG
rnacentral:lncRNA from 1 species